UACGUAGGGGGCAAGCGUUGUCCGGAAUUACUGGGCGUAAAGCGCACGUAGGCGGCUUUGUAAGUUAGAGGUGAAAGCCCGGGGCUCAACUCCGGAAUUGCCUUUAAGACUGCAUCGCUUGAAUCCGGGAGAGGUGAGUGGAAUUCCGAGUGUAGAGGUGAAAUUCGUAGAUAUUCGGAAGAACACCAGUGGCGAAGGCGGCUCACUGGACCGGUAUUGACGCUGAGGUGCGAAAGCGUGGGGAGCAAACAGG
rnacentral:rRNA from 1 species